AUCUAACAUACAUGUUGUUGGUUUAGAUGAUUUAACAAAGUUAUACAAUUCUUAUUGUCCUAUAGCAGAGAAUGGCUGGUUUGAUGUAUGAUGGUGGUCCAUAACUGUAUAAAGCAAUUGGAACUGAGGUGCUUCAUACAUUUAUAAGAAUCAUCCUGUGAACCUAUGUGAACAUACAGUAAAAUGAACACUGGGUUUUAUCUUUAGCAGUCAUUCAGGAAGGCAGUGGCCAAAGAGCGCAAGAAGAGUGCUGAUAGAGAGAGAGAGAAGGCUGUUUCAGGCAUGUCACAGAUGUGCGGUGGACAUUAAGCCUUUAUUUGCAAUUGGACUCUAAGUCACUACUCCUCCCUUAAGAAGUUUAUCCGCCUGUACAUGUAUUUGCGCUACAGUCACAAGAGGGGGGAUGAAGACAACGCAAAGUGGGUGGUUUAUUUGAGAAGUGUUUGGUUUAAAAGAGCGAGAGAAAGAAAGAGAGAGAGACCGAUAAAGUUGAGGCAUGCAAGGAAGUCAGAUUACAGCACUCUAUAAACAUCUUACAGUGCUUACCAAGACAUCUUACCAGUGAACAAGAGCCUUGUGAAGACAGAGAGGAGGAUAUAACACAUCUUUGUACUCCUUUUCUUUCAACGAGAAGAAUGAAACCUCAAAUAAAGAGAACGUUUUCAAACUUCUUCUUUGAAUACGAAACUCCUCGACAGGUUCUGGUCAGGAACAAAAGAGUUGCAGUUGUGUGCCGAAUCAUCCAAAUGGGUGUUCUAGCUUACAUCAUUGGGUGGGUGUUCAUGUAUGAGAAAGGCUACCAGAUAGUAGAUAUUGCCAUAAGCUCCAUCUUCACCAAGAUGAAGGGAGUGUCCUUCACAAAUAUCAGCGAAAAGGAGCGGAUAUGGGAUGCAGCUGAUUAUGUUUUUCCUGAACAGGGUGACUCGUCUUUUGUUGUGAUGACGAACUACAUUGCCACUGUGGGACAGAAACAGGACAAAUGUCCUGAGCUGCCAGAUGGGAAGAACAAAUGCACUUCUGACGCACACUGUGAUGAGGGCAAAUACAAACGUAUGGGAAAUGGACACAUGACGGGCAGGUGUAUAAACGAUACAAGUACUUGUGAGAUCUACUCCUGGUGUCCAGUUGAAGAUGACCGUAAAAUACCAGACCCUCCAGUCCUGCUGACAGCAGAAAACUACACACUGUUCAUCAAAAACUCCAUUACCUUUCGCCAGUUUAAUGUAGUAAGGAGUAACUUGGUGGAGAGUGUGAAUCAGAGUUACAUCAAUACAUGUUUGUAUCAUCCCAAGACUGAUCCACUGUGUCCUAUCUUCAGACUGGGAGACAUUGUUGAGCGUUCUGGGCUCAGUUUCUCAGAGAUAGCUCGUGUGGGUGGUGCUAUAGGAGUCCUCAUCGACUGGGACUGCAAUCUGGACCUGAGUAUCAGACACUGCAAACCAAAGUAUGAAUUCUAUGGUCUUUAUGGAACGGGGAAAAAUGAGGACAAAGAAGAGAAACCAUCAUUGGGAUACAAUUUUAGAUAUGCUAAAUAUUAUGUGGAGAAUGAGGUGGAAAAGAGAACGCUAAUGAAGGUGUUUGGUGUACGGAUAGACAUCAUUGUUCAUGGACGGGCAGGAAAAUUUGAUAUCAUCCCUACGUUGACGGCUAUAGGCUCAGGAGUAGGAAUCUUUGGAGUGGCAACCGUUGUGUGCGAUAUGCUGCUCCUAUAUUUAGUUUCAAAGCGAGAUUUCUACAAAAACAUGAAAUUCAAGCAUACAGAAAUCGAGGAAGAGUGUCCUUAUGGAAACAGCCAGGAUUUAACUGUAAUUAAAAUGUCCAAAGCACAUCUGAGGGAGUGUAUGUGAGUGGAAAAGUAUAAUUACGUCAGUAAGUAUCUUACUUUUGAUCUGUAUGCACAUAGGCAGUAUGCAAGACUACUGUAUUCAAGUCCAUGCAACACCACGGCUUCCUGUAGACAUCUCUGCAGUGAUAGUUACCCUAGCAACGCAGCACAUUGACCAUACUUGUUUCUUAUAUAAAGAAAGGAAAGUGAGGCCACAUCUUAACCUCCAGGACUCCCACUCUAGCAGCCUUCUGAGAAAGAAACACAUUGGGGUUGAUAGGAGCAUGGGAAAUGAUCUCCGAUAUGUAUUUGCCCUUCCACAGAAGCCAGCCUUGUCUCAGUCAAAGACAGAAAGAGAUCUGCCAAAGGAGUGAAGUCUGGAUGGCUGCCAUGACGACUGACUACUGCACUGAAGAGAGAGAGAGAAAGAGAGAAACCCCCUCAACACUGGAGCUUCAACAAGACGGCUGGGAGACUUGACACAGAACUGUCAGACAUCACUUUUCCUUUCUAAAUAACAUUUCCUUCCCAAACUACUGAGGAAAGACAUUAAAUCAGUGUUAUGAUUUAAGACAUAACUAAUACCCACUGAAUGUGUUCGUAUUGAGAGGCUUAGGACUGUAAAGGUACACAAUUGUAUGAGGGUUUUGAGGUCUUUACAAGGUUCCCAAAGUUUUUGGCAAUUACCAUGUAAUGUCUGGAUAUGUCACCCAUAUUCAACUCUGGAUAAUGUAUCACCUUAAAACGAUUAAAAUUAAUAUUUUUAUUUACUGAUAGGUGUUUUGUAAAGGUGUUGUUGUUGUUUUUGUAGCAAGUCAAACUGUUGAGCCUACAAUUUUUGUGAAUUUUUUUUUAGAUGGUUAGUCAACCAUAUGAGGUUGAAACUAACCAGCUCUGAAAGACAGAAAGGUGAGUGAUUUAAGCCUUUUGUUUUAGCUCAUUCACAAAACACUGAGCCAAAAAACAUAGGAUGCUCAAAGGAUCUCAAAGGUCUGUUAUUUUAUUAUUAGUAGACAGCCGUCUGGACUACUUGAUUUUAAUGCAGCAUUCAAUGAUCAAAUAUAUCAGAAACAAUGACACAUUCCGACCACUUAUCCAGGAAACUCUUAGCUGUGCUUGUGUUCUGUCUCUAAAAUUAUUACUCAAAUCAAUAUUCCAUGCCCAUAUAUUUAUUUGUUU